GGUUCUCCCCGAAAGCUAUUUAGGUAGCGCCUCGUGAAUUCAUCUCCGGGGGUAGAGCACUGUUUCGGCUAGGGGGCCAUCCCGGCUUACCAACCCGAUGCAAACUGCGAAUACCGGAGAAUGUUAUCACGGGAGACACACGGCGGGUGCUAACGUCCGUCGUGAAGAGGGAAACAACCCAGACCGCCAGCUAAGGUCCCAAAGUCAUGGUUAAGUGGGAAACGAUGUGGGAAGGCCCAGACAGCCAGGAUGUUGGCUUAGAAGCAGCCAUCAUUUAAAGAAAGCGUAAUAGCUCACUGGUCGAGUCGGCCUGCGCGGAAGAUGUAACGGGGCUAAACCAUGCACCGAAGCUGCGGCAGCGAACGUAUCACUUAAAGCGAUUCAGCGGGUUACGAUUGACGGAGCGAAGCGACGUCAAAGCGUAUACAAAGUCGAGUCGGUUUAAGGAUACGUUCGUUGGGUAGGGGAGCGUUCUGUAAGCCUGUGAAGGUGGCCUGUGAGGGUUGCUGGAGGUAUCAGAAGUGCGAAUGCUGACAUAAGUAACGAUAAAGCGGGUGAAAAGCCCGCUCGCCGGAAGACCAAGGGUUCCUGUCCAACGUUAAUCGGGGCAGGGUGAGUCGACCCCUAAGGCGAGGCCGAAAGGCGUAGUCGAUGGGAAACGGGUUAAUAUUCCCGUACUUGGUGUUACUGCGAAGGGGGGACGGAGAAGGCUAUGUUGGCCGGGCGACGGUUGUCCCGGUUUAAG
rnacentral:rRNA from 1 species